rnacentral:rRNA from 1 species
UCUCUCUGUCCUUUUCUUUUUUCUCUUCCUGUUUUUGGUUCUUUGGUGUUUAUCUACUUCUGUUCUCUUCUUUUUGUUUUCUUCUUUUUUGGUUCGUUGUGUCCGUGCUGUUGCUCUUCUUGGCCUUCUGUUUCUCUCUUCUUUUGCUUUUGUUCUUUUCGUGGCGUUUCUUGUCCUUGUGCUUCUUUCUCUGUCUUUUUGUCUGUUUUAUCUUUUUUCUUUUUGGAAAGUAAAAGUCGUAACAAGGUUUCCGUAGGUGAACCUGCGGAAGGAUCAUUAC